rnacentral:ncRNA from 2 species
AGUAAAGAUAGAGGCGCGAUUUUUAAGAGUACAACUAUUGAGAGGGCACAAUGAAGUAGUUGGAAAGGGGAAAUCGCCGAAGUGUUCGACAGAGCCAAACUGUUGAUUGCUGGGGUUGAGCAGAAUAUGCUCAGCACUGUCACAAAAUUUCAGGUAUGAAUUUGUGGAGGACUAUCAACAAA